rnacentral:rRNA from 1 species
ACUCAAAUGAAUUGACGGGGAGCCGCACAAGCGGUGGAUUAUGUUCUUUAAUUCGAUGAUAACCGAUGAACCUUACCAGGGUUUGACAUCCUUGGAAUUUCUGUGAAAGCAGAGAGUGCUUUAUUGAACCAAGUGACAGGUGAUGCAUGGCCGUCGUCAGCUCGUGUCGUGAGAUGUUUGGUUAAGUCCAUCAACGAGCGCAACCCUUGUGAAUAGUUGUAUUUUUCUAUUCAGACUGCCCCGGUAACGGGGAGGAAGGAGGGGAUGAUGUCAGGUCAGUAUUUCCCUUACACCCUGGGCUAGAAACAUAAUACAAUGGCCAGUACAAUGCGCAGCGAAGCCGCGAGGUGGAGCAAAUCGCAUCAAAACUGGUCCCAGUUCGGAUAAGAGGCUGAAACUCGCCUCUUUGAAGUUGGAAUCGCUAGUAAUCGCAGAUCAGCAAGCUGCGGUGAAUACGUUCCCGGCUCUUGCACACACCGCCCGU